rnacentral:lncRNA from 1 species
UCUCACUUCUGGAGGACUCAGCAUUCAAGGUGCCAUCUUGGAAGCAGACAGCAGCCCUCACUAGACUACAAACAUGCUGGCGCUUUGAUCUUGGACUUCCCACCCACCAGAACUCUCUCCACUCCCUUCCUAGACUUUCUUCAUAGAACCAGAAGAGGGUACCUGAAUUGGCCUGGACUGCUCAGCCUGUACGGUUCUGGGAGUGGGGUGGGGUGGAUGGAGUGAACUCAGCAGGCACCCCCAGCUCUGCUCUCCUGUGGUUGUGACUGGAUCUCCAGGAGGGACUUCGACUUUUCCAGGUCUUAGCACUGAAGAUGCUUUGGUGCUUCUGCACAGGGGAGAAAAUUCAAAAUAACAAAACCAUAAAC